rnacentral:rRNA from 1 species
GAAACGAGUUAUCUGAACCUUCGGGGAACGAUAACGGCGUCGAGCGGCGGACGGGUGAGUAAUGCCUAGGAAAUUGCCCUGAUGUGGGGGAUAACCAUUGGAAACGAUGGCUAAUACCGCAUGAUGCCUACGGGCCAAAGAGGGGGACCUUCGGGCCUCUCGCGUCAGGAUAUGCCUAGGUGGGAUUAGCUAGUUGGUGAGGUAAGGGCUCACCAAGGCGACGAUCCCUAGCUGGUCUGAGAGGAUGAUCAGCCACACUGGAACUGAGACACGGUCCAGACUCCUACGGGAGGCAGCAGUGGGGAAUAUUGCACAAUGGGCGCAAGCCUGAUGCAGCCAUGCCGCGUGUGUGAAGAAGGCCUUCGGGUUGUAAAGCACUUUCAGUCGUGAGGAAGGUAGUGUAGUUAAUAGCUGCAUUAUUUGACGUUAGCGACAGAAGAAGCACCGGCUAACUCCGUGCCAGCAGCCGCGGUAAUACGGAGGGUGCGAGCGUUAAUCGGAAUUACUGGGCGUAAAGCGCAUGCAGGUGGUUUGUUAAGUCAGAUGUGAAAGCCCGGGGCUCAACCUCGGAAUAGCAUUUGAAACUGGCAGACUAGAGUACUGUAGAGGGGGGUA